GUGGGGAAUCUUCCGCAAUGGACGAAAGUCUGACGGAGCAACGCCGCGUGAGUGAUGAAGGUCUUCGGAUUGUAAAGCUCUGUUAAUCGGGACGAAAGAGCCUAGUGUGAAUAAUGCUAGGAAGUGACGGUACCGGAAUAGAAAGCCACGGCUAACUACGUGCCAGCAGCCGCGGUAAUACGUAGGUGGCAAGCGUUGUCCGGAAUUAUUGGGCGUAAAGCGCGCGCAGGCGGAUCUGCCAGUCUGUCUUAAAAGUUCGGGGCUUAACCCCGUGAUGGGAUGGAAACUACAGAUCUAGAGUAUCGGAGAGGAAAGUGGAAUUCCUAGUGUAGCGGUGAAAUGCGUAGAUAUUAGGAAGAACACCAGUGGCGAAGGCGACUUUCUGGACGAAAACUGGCGCUGAGGCGCGAAAGCCAGGGGAGCGAACGGGAUUAGAAACCCGGGUAGUCC
rnacentral:rRNA from 1 species